GACGUAGGAUGCAAGCGUUGUCCGGAAUUAUUGGGCGUAAAGAGUUCGUAGGCGGUUACUUAAGUCUGGUGUUAAAGACGGGAGCUCAACUCCCGCAUGGCAUCGGAAACUGGGUGGCUAGAGUGUGGUAGAGGUCUCGGGAAUUCCAGGUGUAGCGGUGAAAUGCGUAGAUAUCUGGAGGAACACCGGUGGCGAAAGCGCGAGACUGGGCCAUAACUGACGCUGAGGAACGAAAGCCAGGGGAGCGAAAGGG
rnacentral:rRNA from 1 species